rnacentral:piRNA from 1 species
UGAGCUGAUCAUAACUUGACUGAUCUU